GGGGUGCAUCAGAAAACGAUGUUACUCGAUACAAACUUCCUACAAAAAGAAUCUGUAAUUUCCUGCUUGCUGAUCUGGAAGCAAGUUCUGCAAGUCUCAAAUUACCGAACAUUUCA